UGAUUCAUUUUCAAUUAUCUGCAUAUACAGAAGAUCAACUUAGUAUAUACUUAGUAAAGAUUUCAACAGACUGCACUCACACAGACCCACAAAGUAUAGAGUACUGUUUGAGUAGUAGUUUACCAUUAAUUCACAUAACACAUUAAUGACAGGGGUCCUACAUGGGGAGCAAGUUCACAGUGACUCCCAUUGUUGAUUUAACAAUUGACACUCUUAUUUAUGACAUCAGUAAUCACCCAAGGCACUUGUUAUGAGCCACCAGGGCUAUAGAAGCCUCUUGAGUUUGCCAACUCCGAUCUUAUUUAGACAAGGCCAUAGUCAAAGUGGAAGUUCUCUCCUCCCUUCAGAGAAAGGUGGGAGUCUGGAAGCCCAAGAUCAAGGUGUCAGCAGAUCUGGUUUCUCCAGAGGCCUCUCCUUGGAUUGCAGAUGACCACCUUCCACAGGCUUUUGCUUGCUUGUUGACAACCACUGCACACAUGAAGCAUUACUCUGAACUACUGAGGGACAAUAACAAAGUACAUAUAGAUCUCUCUCCAAUUCAACAAACCCUCUGUGCCACCCAGAAGGCAAAGAGAUUUACAUGUCAAAUAUAUAAGC